AACCCAAUUUUUGGCAGUCAUGAGGGAAUACCUAGAGUCGCUUUGUGAAAACCUGAGGUCUCACACAAUUACUAAUGUACAAUCGAACGAUGACAGGGUUUCUAUACUACUUAAAGAUAGUUUUAUCCACUCUUUUCCGGUCAAUGACCAGCCUUUCAUUAAGCUGUUUGUAGACACACAAUUAUUCACUGUUCUAUCAGAUUCUCGUCUGUCAAGUUAUGAGAAUGAGCGCUAACUUAAAAACCCCACCCCACCA